rnacentral:rRNA from 1 species
GAUGAACGCUGGCGGCGUGCUUAACACAUGCAAGUCGAACGAAGCACUUUAUUUGAUUUCCUUCGGGACUGAUUAUUUUGUGACUGAGUGGCGGACGGGUGAGUAACGCGUGGGUAACCUGCCCUGUACAGGGGGAUAACAGUUGGAAACGGCUGCUAAUACCGCAUAAGCGCACGGCAUCGCAUGAUGCAGUGUGAAAAACUCCGGUGGUAUAAGAUGGACCCGCGUUGGAUUAGCUAGGUGGUGAGGUAACGGCCCACCAAGGCGACGAUCCAUAGCCGACAUGUGAGGGUGACCGGCCACAUUGGGACUGAGACACGGCCCAAACUCCUACGGGAGGCAGCAGUGGGGAAUAUUGCAAAAUGGGCUAAAGGAUGAUGCAGCGACGCCGCGUGAGCGAAGAAGUAUUUAGGUAUGUAAAGCUCUAUAAGCAGGGAAGAUAAUGACGGUACCUGACUAAGAAGCACCGGCUAAAUACGUG